GAAAGUUACUUCGGUACAUCGGUGACAGGUGGUGCAUGGUUGUCGUCAGCUCGUGUCGUGAGAUGUUGGGUUAAGUCCCGCAACGAGCGCAACCCCUAUUGUUAGUUGCCAUCAUUCAGUUGGGCACUCUAGCGAGACUGCCGGUAAUAAACCGGAGGAAGGUGGGGAUGACGUCAAAUCAUCAUGCCCCUUAUGACCUGGGCUACACACGUGCUACAAUGGUUGGUACAACGAGUUGCGAGUCGGUGACGGCGAGCUAAUCUCUUAAAGCCAAUCUCAGUUCGGAUUGUAGGCUGCAACUCGCCUACAUGAAGUCGGAAUCGCUAGUAAUCGCGGAUCAGCACGCCGCGGUGAAUACGUUCCCGGGCCUU
rnacentral:rRNA from 1 species